rnacentral:tRNA from 1 species
CAGCAAAUAGUUUAUUAUAAAAUAUAAAUUUUGGAGAUUUAAGAUAAGAGUUUUUUUUUUUGCUGA